rnacentral:rRNA from 1 species
AACGAACGCUGGCGGCAUGCCUAACACAUGCAGGUCGAACGAGACCUUCGGGUCUAGUGGCGCACGGGUGCGUAACGCGUGGGAACCUGCCCUUAGGUUCGGAAUAACUCCCCGAAAGGGGUGCUAAUACCGGAUAAUGUCUUCGGACCAAAGAUUUAUCGCCUUUGGAUGGGCCCGCGUUGGAUUAGCUAGUUGGUAGGGUAAGAGCCUACCAAGGCGACGAUCCAUAGCUGGUCUGAGAGGAUGAUCAGCCACACUGGGACUGAGACACGGCCCAGACUCCUACGGGAGGCAGCAGUGGGGAAUAGUGGACAAUGGGCGAAAGCCUGAUCCAGCAAUGCCGCGUGAGUGAUGAAGGCCUUAGGGUUGUAAAGCUCUUUUACCCGGGAUGAUAAUGACAGUACCGGGAGAAUAAGCUCCGGCUAACUCCGUG